CAGGGAUGGGAAGACAAGCCUCUGAAACACCCAAACAUAUUGGGUGCUUCUGAGGAUUUCAGAAUUUGAAAAGGUCAAAAGACAGAAGCCGAAGGUCAGAAGUGAGGAUGACGAAGCGAAGGCAAGAGGGACAGAUUUCUGUAAAAGCCUCAGAGAGGCAAAACUCAGAAGGACCUGAAAGUUCACCCCAAUGCAAAGAACAGCACAAGGACUGCGGAAAUGCGUCUGGGACAGCCAGGAAGCAAGAAAGCACAGUAACAUGCCUUCUCAGGUUUCAUACCUUUGCUCCAGCUGAUGGGAUCUUGAAAAGAUGGGGUAAAUACACCUGUGACAUUGCCGCUGAAGUGCACGGAGAUGGGCUCAGGGGUCAGGCUUGUCCUCAGGCUCCUGGAGCCCUUCCUGGCCCACAUCUGUGAAGUGGGUGGAGACAGA
ensembl:lncRNA